rnacentral:misc_RNA from 1 species
AGGGAAGUUUUACAGGGCCGAGGAUAUUUUGGUCUGGGUCUAGCCUCCGAACAGAAGCUACUGGAUAUGGUCUGGUUUUCUUUGCACAGCUAAUACUUGCAGACAUGAAUAAAGAACUUAAAGGACUAAGAUGCGUUGUAAGUGGUUCCGGGAAGAUUGCAAUGCAUGUUCUUGAAAAGCUUAUUGCGUACGGUGCCCUCCCCAUUACUGUCUCAGAUUCAAAG